rnacentral:lncRNA from 1 species
AGGUUCUGUUGUAACAGAGUGCCACCAUUCAUCGUAGUGACUCUCAGAAUCCGGUCCCUUUGCUGGACCACAGAAUGUAAAAGUCUCUUGCCGGCUUUAUUUACACACACCUAUAGAGAGAAAUUUAUUUGUCUGUGUCUUUGUCUUCUUUCAGUUAUCUUUGGACUGGUAGACUUCAGACUUCCUUGGCCUUUGUAUAUGAGGCUUAAGAAUUUCUUUUCCCCUCCCCAGCAUCCUGUUGUGUCCUUUUUAAUGUUGAUUUAUGUUUUGUUUUUUUUUGUAAGAAAAGCAUAUGCUUUGUUCCAGUUGGAUGUAUUGACAUUUGAAAUUGUAUUUUUUGGACAGAAUACAAAGCAGACGCUGUGGUAAUAAACAUAUAAAUCUCUGAUUCUUCUCUUUUUGAGUUUGUUCAUUCUUCGUUCUUAUUCCAAUAGUGUGAUGAUGAGAGAAGUUUUUCUGAUUUUUAUGAAAUCUCAUAUUGAGAACUUUAAUAUGAAUGAAAGCUCUCUGUGAGUGUUAUAAUUGUAAAAAAAAAGUUAAUCUAAAUCAUAGAUUACAGACUCAAAAAUCUAUGUGAUGUAUGGUGUAGUUUGAGCUUGUUUCGUCAUCCUCUUAUUAUUUAGUUCAAGCUCACAUUUGAUACCACAUUUAAAUUAUAAUAAAAUGUAUGCGGGUCUGGAUUAUAGACUGGGGCUCAGACUGCCGAGGAAACUCUAAAACCUCUGGCCAGACCGUCCCAAGACCAAAAGAAGGUGAACCAGGUUCUUAGUGAUAUGGUGCGAAAUUACACUAAGGCCUCCAGCUAGUAUUUUCAGUUGUCCAAUGUGUAAAAAAAACCUUAUGACAUAUAAUGGCAGUAUAUAUUUAUAUUUUAUAUGCAAGGAAGAAGAGAUGAGCAUUUAAAAAUAAUUUGUAUGAUCUAUAAACAUUAAAUUAUAUUUAAAAAAUCAUUAAAAUAUAUAUUUUUUAAUAAAUUUAAAUUGUAACAAAACAAUUUUUGUAUUUUACAGAAUUUUACAAAAACUCCAUACAGCAUCCCUUUGCUGCCAAUAUGUUAGAAGUGAAGUGUUUG